CCUCCGAUAGCUCAAUUGGUAGAGCGCUCAGUUACUCUAAUUGUCGUUCAGGUAGAUAAUAUCUAAGAGAUGCUGGUUCGAAUCCAGCUCGGAGGA
rfam:Stereum hirsutum FP-91666 SS1 unplaced genomic scaffold STEHIscaffold_2, whole genome shotgun sequence.